GAUGAACGCUAGCUACAGGCUUAACACAUGCAAGUCGAGGGGCAGCAUUUUAGUUUGCUUGCAAACUGAAGAUGGCGACCGGCGCACGGGUGAGUAACACGUAUCCAACCUGCCGAUAACUCCGGAAUAGCCUUUCGAAAGAAAGAUUAAUACCGGAUAGCAUACGAAUAUCGCAUGAUAUUUUUAUUAAAGAAUUUCGGUUAUCGAUGGGGAUGCGUUCCAUUAGUUUGUUGGCGGGGUAACGGCCCACCAAGACUACGAUGGAUAGGGGUUCUGAGAGGAAGGUCCCCCACAUUGGAACUGAGACACGGUCCAAACUCCUACGGGAGGCAGCAGUGAGGAAUAUUGGUCAAUGGGCGAGAGCCUGAACCAGCCAAGUAGCGUGAAGGAUGAAGGCUCUAUGGGUCGUAAACUUCUUUUAUAUGGGAAUAAAGUUUUCCACGUGUGGAAUUUUGUAUGUACCAUAUGAAUAAGGAUCGGCUAACUCCGUGCCAGCAGCCGCGGUAAUACGGAGGAUCCGAGCGUUAUCCGGAUUUAUUGGGUUUAAAGGGAGCGUAGGUGGAUUGUUAAGUCAGUUGUGAAAGUUUGCGGCUCAACCGUAAAAUUGCAGUUGAAACUGGCAGUCUUGAGUACAGUAGAGGUGGGCGGAAUUCGUGGUGUAGCGGUGAAAUGCUUAGAUAUCACGAAGAACUCCGAUUGCGAAGGCAGCUCACUAGACUGUCACUGACACUGAUGCUCGAAAGUGUGGGUAUCAAACAGGAUUAGAUACCCUGGUAGUCCACACAGUAAACGAUGAAUACUCGCUGUUUGCGAUAUACAGUAAGCGGCCAAGCGAAAGCAUUAAGUAUUCCACCUGGGGAGUACGCCGGCAACGGUGAAACUCAAAGGAAUUGACGGGGGCCCGCACAAGCGGAGGAACAUGUGGUUUAAUUCGAUGAUACGCGAGGAACCUUACCCGGGCUUAAAUUGCAACAGAAUAUAUUGGAAACAGUAUAGCCGUAAGGCUGUUGUGAAGGUGCUGCAUGGUUGUCGUCAGCUCGUGCCGUGAGGUGUCGGCUUAAGUGCCAUAACGAGCGCAACCCUUAUCUUUAGUUACUAACAGGUUAUGCUGAGGACUCUAGAGAGACUGCCGUCGUAAGAUGUGAGGAAGGUGGGGAUGACGUCAAAUCAGCACGGCCCUUACGUCCGGGGCUACACACGUGUUACAAUGGGGGGUACAGAAGGCAGCUACACGGCGACGUGAUGCUAAUCCCAAAAACCUCUCUCAGUUCGGAUCGAAGUCUGCAACCCGACUUCGUGAAGCUGGAUUCGCUAGUAAUCGCGCAUCAGCCAUGGCGCGGUGAAUACGUUCCCGGGCCU
rnacentral:rRNA from 1 species